rnacentral:rRNA from 1 species
UAAAAUAAAAUCAAAGGAACUUGUUUUUUAAUCGAUAAUACUCGAUAAAUUUUACUCUUUUCUAAAGCUUAUAUACCGCCGUUUAAAUCUUUUUUAAAUAACUUUUUUUAACCCUAUCAAAAAUUUCAGGUCAAGGUGUAGCCCAUAAAACAGUUAAAAUAAGUUACUAUAAAAACUAUUUCUAGAAAUAAAGAAAACUCAAAUAAAAUAGGAUUUAAAUUCAAUAAUUUAAUAAUAUUAAAUUAUGAAAUUCAUUUAAAC